UGUCCUUCCUGGUUUCAAACAUGUCCAAACCGCUUUGCUUUCCUUUUAUACAGUUCCUUUUCACUGCCGCCACCUUCCCGCCAAUCCAAAUUCCCUCCGUAAAAAGUACAGCAAAAUGGGUGUUGAAAAUCCAGCAGAGGAAGUUCAAGUUCUGCUCAGAACAGGACUUUGCAAUCCAUUUCAUUUUCACCAUUUUUUCUGACUCCCCUCAUAGCAAUUACAGAUUUUAGAGAUGGUUAUCAAGGAUUUACUGCAAGAGUAUCCGGACAUGAUCUGCAAUUAAACUAAAUGGACUCUUGCACAGUGAGGACAAUUGUGCUGUAAAGG